GCAGAGGAAGGCUGAGAUGGUAGAAAGAUGAGGAACGGGAGGAGGAGGAGCCAGAGAGGGGGCAGCGGGAGGAGGUGGGGUGCUCCGGGAGCUGGGGCAGAGCUUCCCCUGCAGCUCCUGCAGCCUGAGGAGGAGAGCAUGGCAGAGGAGGCUGAUGUGUCCCGAGGGAAGCAGCAGCGCUGCGUUUACCCGUGUGGGUGCAGGGGAGAAGUGUUAGGAGGAAGGAGCGUCAGGAGAGGACCUGUGACGGACCGCCUGUGACGGCUGUGGGUCCCGAGGCAAGUGCAGAGCUGUUGCAGAACAGUGCUUGCACAGAGCCAAGGACUUUUCUGCUUCUCGUGCGGUUCAUCCCGUGAGGAGGCAGGGGACAGAGCAGAAGCUGGCAGCGGCCACAGCCAGGAGACAGAGCCACACAGCUGGCGGCCCAGACUGGCCGGGAUGUCACGCUCAGCAAGGAAAGCUGGAGGUGUCAAGCAGGAGGCCUGGGUCAAGGUGGGAUGGAUGCUGUUGCCUUCCCAAGAGAUUGUUCCGUGCAAUGAGCCGUCUGUUCCUGGAUGUGGCUGAAUAUUGGCCUGCCUGCGGAUGGGAAGCAGCGAUUGUGUUGCCCGUUUUCCUUGUUGUGCGGGCCGGGCUUUUGCUUUCCCUGAUUAAAAAAAAAAUUGAGUCUGGCCCUCCGCCCCAGGAGUCCACGCACCCUCACCUUGCCUCCUUUAUCCCGGCUCCUGGCCUGGGGCCAGUGAGGGAGGGAUGUUUUUUCUGUCUGCCGGCUUAAACCACGACAGCACUAGGCAAUAGACGCACGUGCAUGAAGAUAACAACAGUAGUACGGUACGUGCACGUACUCCUAAAAGCUUUGGUGGACGCCAAAGGGGCCAUCUGAUCUUUCCAGUUCAUGCUUUUGUUGCACUGUGUGGAUGUUGAAAUCAAGCAAGGUACACAAAGCAAAGACUGCUUUGGUUGGAGGAGCUCCUCAGCAGCAGAAAGCAAGUGGUGGCUACACCUGCCCCAGCCUUUGUGCUGAAAGCUCCGGUGGCUCCUGCAGUGUGCUUAAGGCACACUGAAGCGUAGCUUGCAAACAUCACUUUGCAGCCCGUGGACAAAAUGGGCACUAGAGUGUUCACCCAGCUGAAUUUGUUUUUGCAACGGCUGGGUUUACUUGCCCGCUACGGGGCUUGUAAUGCCGAGAAAAGGAAGCUCCGGGACACACGCGGCCACAGCAGUUGCAAUGGCACAAACACAGUCAGGGGGUGCAGGACACUUGUUCUCUCACCGUCCCGGUUAAGGACAGGAACAGCCCUCCUGGCCAAGCAGAAAGGGGCCACCAACCCCCUCCCCAAACUCACUGCUAGCCGUGCUCGUCCUCACUGACUUCACAGUUUCAGGAACACUGGCUGCACGCAAUAGGCAGCCGAGCACCCCCUACCGCUUGGCCGGUGAGACGCCGAGCAGUGUGGAUCGUGCAGCUGCUGCUGCUGCUGCUGCUGGUGCUGGUGCUCCGCCAGGCGGCGCCUCCAUCCUGCAGCUCUUCCCAGCUACCAGCUGGCGGCGCUGCGCAGAGUGCAUGCCAGGGCACGGAAGGGGAGGGCACGGAAGGGGAGGUGCCAGCGCUACUGGGCCAGCCCACUGGCAGGAGUGGCCAGGACCGGAAAUCCCUGCCCUCUACCUACACUGGGAGGCGCCAUUUUGUUUCAGUCGGCGUUCCAGAGUGAGCUGCCGCCAUUUCGUGAAGCUUCAGGGGCGCCAUUUGGUUUCAGUCCACAAGCCAUAGGGAGGAGCCUCCAUUUUGUGACACUCGGUAAGCCACGUGUUACCAGAGCGCUCAGUGAUUGGCUUAGCAGCCCUUGUUUUAGCAGCUGUCAUUUUCUCCGAAACGGCUCGGAGCGCUUGGAUGCUUCCUGUGGAGCAGGAGGUGCUCAGAUGUGACAAGACGCGUGCUCCUUCCUAUGCACGUGUACGGGGUGCAGGUGCCCAGGUGCUGUCACUGGAGGCUGACGGUGGCCUGUGAGGAGAAACCGGGGCAGCCCUAAGGCAGGUGCAGUGCGUUGGAUGCGUCUGCGGUGGCACUGCCACCGGGCAAAAGUGAGCCCAGCACGUGAGUUGGAGGGGCCCCGGGGCCACGUAUCCAGAUGGGAACACCAAGAGGAGAGCAGAAACGGUCAGGCAGUUGGGAGAGAGGGAGGAAAAGUGUCCGAAACGGGCCCGCAAAAGUGAAGAUGAGCAGAGGAGGAGCAGGAGGUGGAUGGGGAGGAGGAGCAGGAGGAGGAGCGAGAGGAGGGGCAGGCUGAGGUGGUAGAAAGAUGAGGAACGGGAGGAGGAGGAGCCAGAGAGGGGGCAGCGGGAGGAGGUGGGGUGCUCCGGGAGCUGGGGCAGAGCUUCCCCUGCAGCUCCUGCAGCCUGAGGAGGAGAGCAUGGCAGAGGAGGCUGAUGUGUCCCGAGGGAAGCAGCAGCGCUGCGUUUACCCGCGUGGGUGCAGGGGAGAAGUGUUAGGAGGAAGGAGCGUCAGGAGAGGAGCUGUGACGGACCGCCUGUGACGGCUGUGGGUCCCGAGGCAAGUGCAGAGGUGAGGUCCGGGCACUGAGUAUUUAGGAGAGAGAGCGAGCCUGGGAAGGAGCGAGAGAGAGGGGGAGAGGUGGAAAACCUUUAUGCACCUUGCAGUCCAGCGCUGUUUGCAAUUGGCAAUAAAAUAAACACCCUCACUACACGUUGA